rnacentral:rRNA from 1 species
GACGAACGCUGGCGGCGUGCUUAACACAUGCAAGUCGAACGGAAAGGCCCUGCUUUUGUGGGGUGCUCGAGUGGCGAACGGGUGAGUAACACGUGAGUAACCUGCCCUUGACUUUGGGAUAACUUCAGGAAACUGGGGCUAAUACCGGAUAGGAGCUCCUGCUGCAUGGUGGGGGUUGGAAAGUUUCGGCGGUUGGGGAUGGACUCGCGGCUUAUCAGCUUGUUGGUGGGGUAGUGGCUUACCAAGGCUUUGACGGCUAGCCGGCCUGAGAGGGUGACCGGCCACAUUGGGACUACGAGACGGACCAGAGUGCUACGGGAGGCAGUAGUGGGGAAUAUUGCACAAUGGGCGGAAGCCUGAUGAAGAAACGCCGCGUGCGGGAUGACGGCCUUCGGGUUGUAAACCGCUUUAGCCUGUGACGAAGCGUGAGUGACGGUAAUGGGUAAAGAAGCACCGGCUAACUACGUG